CUCUGGGACAAGCCCUGGAAACGGGGUCUAAUACCGGAUAACACUCUGUCCCGCAUGGGACGGGGUUGAAAGCUCCGGCGGUGAAGGAUGAGCCCGCGGCCUAUCAGCUUGUUGGUGGGGUAAUGGCCUACCAAGGCGACGACGGGUAGCCGGCCUGAGAGGGCGACCGGCCACACUGGGACUGAGACACGGCCCAGACUCCUACGGGAGGCAGCAGUGGGGAAUAUUGCACAAUGGGCGAAAGCCUGAUGCAGCGACGCCGCGUGAGGGAUGACGGCCUUCGGGUUGUAAACCUCUUUCAGCAGGGAAGAAGCGAAAGUGACGGUACCUGCAGAAGAAGCGCCGGCUAACUACGUGCCAGCAGCCGCGGUAAUACGUAGGGCGCAAGCGUUGUCCGGAAUUAUUGGGCGUAAAGAGCUCGUAGGCGGCUUGUCACGUCGGAUGUGAAAGCCCGGGGCUUAACCCCGGGUCUGCAUUCGAUACGGGCUAGCUAGAGUGUGGUAGGGGAGAUCGGAAUUCCUGGUGUAGCGGUGAAAUGCGCAGAUAUCAGGAGGAACACCGGUGGCGAAGGCGGAUCUCUGGGCCAUUACUGACGCUGAGGAGCGAAAGCGUGGGGAGCGAACAGGAUUAGAUACCCUGGUAGUCCACGCCGUAAACGUUGGGAACUAGGUGUUGGCGACAUUCCACGUCGUCGGUGCCGCAGCUAACGCAUUAAGUUCCC
rnacentral:rRNA from 1 species